GACGAACGCUGGCGGCGUGCUUAACACAUGCAAGUCGAACGGGAUGAUUUAAGAGCUUGCUCUUGGAGAAUCUAGUGGCAAACGGGUGAGUAACACGUAGACAACCUGCCGACAGGAUGGGGACAACAUUCCGAAAGGAAUGCUAAUACCGAAUGAAGCGGAGGAGAGGCAUCUCUCCUCCGUGAAAGAUGGCCUCUGAACAUGCUAUCACCUGUCGAUGGGUCUGCGUCUGAUUAGCUGGUUGGUGAGGUAACGGCUCACCAAGGCGACGAUCAGUAGCCGGUCUGAGAGGAUGAACGGCCACAUUGGGACUGAGACACGGCCCAGACUCCUACGGGAGGCAGCAGUGGGGAAUCUUCCGCAAUGGGCGCAAGCCUGACGGAGCAACGCCGCGUGAGUGAAGAAGGUCUUCGGAUCGUAAAGCUCUGUUGAUGGGGACGCUCGUGCCUAAUGCGAAUAGUAUAGG
rnacentral:rRNA from 1 species